rnacentral:lncRNA from 1 species
AAUACAAGCUUUAUAUUACAAGCCAGGGGCCUCGAGGGCUCGAAUACAUAAGCUCGAAUACACAAGAGUCAGCGGAAGCAAUAAUAUCUGAGUACAGACAUAAGUUAGACAAGUUUACCUUAAGAAGGCUAGCACAAAAGCAACAACGAUCGAAAAGGCAAGGCCUCCUGCCUGGGAUCCUCCUAAACUACUCCUGGUCGUCGUCAGCGGCAUGCAUGUAGUAGUAGGCACCUCCAGUGUAGUAGGAAUCAUCGUCGACGGUGGCGUCUGGCUCCAGGGCUCCAGCAUCUGGUUGCGACAACCAGGUAGAAGGGAAAAGGGGGAAAAGAGGGAGAAAAGCAACCGUGAGUACUCAUCCAAAGUACUCGCAAGCAAGGAGCUAAAAUACAUAUGCAUGGGUAUAUGUGUAAAAAGGCAAUAUUGGUGGACUGAACUGCAGAAUGCCAGAAUAAGAGGGGGAUAGCUAGUCCUAUCGAAGACUAUGCUUCUGGUAGCCUCCGUCUUGCAGCAUGUAGAAGAGAGUAGAUUGAAGUCCUCCAAGUAGCAUCGCAUAGCAUAAUCCUACCCGGCGAUCCUCCCCUCGUCACCCUGUGGAAAAGCGAUCACCGGGUUGUCUGUGGAACUUGUCUGGGUGUGUUUUAUUAAGUAUCCGGUUCUAGUUGUCAUAAGGUCAAGGUACAACUCCGGGUCGUCCUUUUACUGAGGGACACGGCUAUUCGAAUAGAUAAACUUCCCUGCAGGGGUGCACCACAUAACCCAACACGCUCGAUCCCAUUUGGCCGGACACACUUUCCUGGGUCAUGCCCGGCCUCGGAAGAUCAACAUGGCGUAGCCCCACCUAGGCACAACAGAGAGGUCAGCACGCCGAUCUAAAUCCUAUGCAUGCAGGGGUCUGGGCCCAUCACCCAUUGCACACCUGCACGUUGCGAGGGCGGUAGGAAGCAGACCUAGCAACCUCCAUUACAAAGGAAGUUGCGUUACGCAGUCCAACCCCGCGCGCGCCGCUCCGUCGCUGACGUCAAGAAGGCUUCGGCUGAUACCACGACGUCGAGUGCCCAUAUCUUUCCCCGUAGUUGGUUAGUGCGUAUAGGCCAAUGGCCAGACUCAGAUCAAAUACCAAGAUCUCGUUAAGCGUGUUAUUUUGAUGUAACCGCAGACGUCGACCAGGGCCAGGCCCACCUCUCGCCUAGGUGGUCUCAACCUGCCCUGUCGCUCUGCCACAUAGUAACAGUCGGGGGCCGUCGGGAACCCAGGCCCACCUCUACCGGGAUGGAGCCACCUAUCCUUUCAGCCCCCACAUCGGAAUCACUUGCGGGUACUCAACGAGCCAACCCGACUUUGGUCACCAUCUGUAUAGUAUGUAUAUAUGUAUAGUAUAUACCCGUGAUCACCUCCCAAGUGAUCACGGCCCGAUAGUAUAGCAAGGCAGACUGACAAGAAUGUAGGGCCAAUGAUGAUAAACUAGCAUCCUAUACUAAGCAAUUAGGAUUGCAGAUAAGGUAUCAACGACUGUAGCAACAAUGACAGGCUAUGCAACAGAAUAGGAGUAACCGAACAGUAACAUGCUACACUACUCUAAUGAAAGCAGUAUAGAGAAGAAUAGGCGAUAUCUGGUGAUCAAGGGGGGGGGGGCUUGUCUGGUUGCUCUGGCAAGGAGGGGUCUUCAACUCCGUAGUCGAACUGGACAACAGCAGCGUCGGUCUCGUAGUCUACUGAAGAGAAGAGGGGGAAGAAACAAUGAAUACAAUGCAAACAGAUGCAUAAUGAUGUAUGGCAUAACAAGUAACAGUGUCAGGUGUGCCCUAACGCAGUAGGAGGUGAUACCGGUGAAGGGGGGAAACAUCCGGGAAAGUAUUCCCGGUGUCUCGCGUUUUCGGAUAGAGGAACCGGAGGGGGAAAGUUGCGAGUUUGAUAGGUUAGGGAUGUGUGGCGGAUGAACGGGUUGCGUAUCCGGAUUCAUCUCGUCGUUCUGAGCAACUUUCAUAUUGAAAAUAAUUUAAUCCGAGUUACGGAUUAAAAGAUAUGAUUUUCUAAAGAUUUACUAAUUUCUGGAAUUUAAUUAAUCAUUUAAUUUAAUUCGAAAUUGGAUUAAUGACAUCAGCAUGAUGUCAUGUUGACAUCAGCAGUCAACAGGGAUUAACUAAGUCAAACUGACAUGUGGGACCCACCUGUGAGGGACUGUUUAGCUAAUUAACAGUAGUUAAUUAGGUUAACUAGUUAUUAGGUUAAUUAAUCUUAAUUAGUUAAUUUAAACAGAAUUAAUUAAGUUAAUUAUUUAGUUAAUUAAUUGAUUGAUUGAUAUUUCUAUUUAUUAUUAUUUUUGAUUCCUUUUUUUAAACGUUCUGGGCGUGGGGUGUGGGACCCCACAUGUCAUUGGCCUAAGUGCCUUAGCGGGCGCACGGUUACGGGCGCCGGGUGGGUCGGGCGACGAGCGCCAGCCCGACGAGGCACCGCGGGGUAGCGGGCGUGCGGCCUGGCUCCGACGACCGGAGCAGGGCGGCGCGGUUGGCUGAGAGGGCCGCCGCAGCGGANNNNNNNNNNNNNNNNNNNNNNNNNNNNNNNNNNNNNNNNNNNNNNNNNNNNNNNNNNNNNNNNNNNNNNNNNNNNNNNNNNNNNNNNNNNNNNNNNNNNNNNNNNNNNNNNNNNNNNNNNNNNNNNNNNNNNNNNNNNNNNNNNNNNNNNNNNNNNNNNNNNNNNNNNNNNNNNNNNNNNNNNNNNNNNNNNNNNNNNNNNNNNNNNNNNNNNNNNNNNNNNNNNNNNNNNNNNNNNNNNNNNNNNNNNNNNNNNNNNNNNNNNNNNNNNNNNNNNNNNNNNNNNNNNNNNNNNNNNNNNNNNNNNNNNNNNNNNNNNNNNNNNNNNNNNNNNNNNNNNNNNNNNNNNNNNNNNNNNNNNNNNNNNNNNNNNNNNNNNNNNNNNNNNNNNNNNNNNNNNNNNNNNNNNNNNNNNNNNNNNNNNNNNNNNNAGCCGCAGGGCAGAGACGGCGGUGGGAGCAGGCAGCAGGGCGACGGGCGCCGUGGCUACGGUUGGAUGGCGCGGGUCGCGCGCGCGGGGGCGCACGGGAGCGUGUGGGCGCGCGCUGGGUCGAGCAGGGGCGAACGGGGUGCGGGCACGGUGACGUGCAACAGAGAGGGGAAAAAGAGGAGAGGAAGGCAGUGGCCUCACCGGUGUUGCAGAGAAGAGGGUCGGCGAGGCUUGGUGGAGCCUUUGGGGAGGACGACGGGGAUGACAGCGACGUAGAGGAGGAGGUCCGGCGAGGAGGAGUCGAAGAGGAGGACGGCAGGGCCGCUCCGCGAGGCAGCUCCGACGACGGCGGGGUACAGCGGCGUUGAGGUCGUGCCGGGGCUCGGGGAAGACAGGCGCGAUGCCAGAGGGUGAGGAAGAAGGCCGGGACGGGGCAGCGAGGACGAGGCGUUCGCGGAGGACGAGGCGUUCGGCGAGGUCCGGCGACGGGGCCGGGCGGCACCGGGCGGCGGCGUCGGGGGCGAGUGCGAUGGCGCCAGGGACGCGUCGGGGGCGGGCAUCACGCUCGAUCCAGAUCGAGCGAGAGGGCGAGGGGUCAUGGGGAACGUGGGGGUUUCAUCCCCGAUCCAGAUCGGAUCGGGAGGGGAGAGGGAAUGGCGACGUGGGGAGGGGAGUGGGAGCGAGUGGGUUAGGGUUUCGGUCGCCAGGGGGUUAUGGGGAGUGGGGUGGCCGGCUGGGCCUUUGCCCAGUUGGGCUGGUGGCCUGCUGGGCCGAAGCCCAGUGGGAGGGUUUUUUCUCAUUUUAUCUUUUUUUGUAUUUGUUUUUUUUCUUCUGUUCUUAUUCUUUUAUUUAUUUUUCUGUUACUUUUAGUUUCACUUUUAUUUUAGAUUUAUGACUUAUAAAAGUAGUCCCUAAUUUAGUCUAAAUAAUUAUACUACGGCCACAUAAGUUUGGGCAACUAGAUAGAAUAGUUUAAUAUUUUAUUAAUUGUAAAAAACAUUUGAUUAAUUGUUUUGCUACUAUUUUAUUUACUUUAGGACAAUCAAACACUUUCAAAGAGGUUGGUUUCUUCAUCAAUAUUACUUAUGCAUUAUUUGGCUCUCUCCAAACAUUUUAGUUUUAACAUUUGAAAAUUUUAUUGUUUGCCUUUACUUUGAAGUUGAAUUCCGAAUCAGUUUUGAACUAACGCGAGAUUAUCAACAAUAACCGAGGUGACGUGGCAUCAUUACCAGAGGUUUACUGUAGCUUAAUUACCCGGGCGUCACACACGUCUUGUGGAAAGACGUCAGUGAACUCCUGCAAAAUGUUAGUGACAGCAGGAGGCAAAGAGGAAGGCACAUCCUCGAAUGAAAAUAAUGCUUCUUUGCACACAAAAGCAUAUCAAACAGAUUUGCUAAAAUCUAGCUCAUCAAUAUCAGAUUUAGUGGCAAGUAAACAUGCACUUUUCAAUUUAAUUUCAGAAGCAACACUAGAUGGUUUACUAUUAGGCUUCAUUUGUUGCUCAAAUUCUUUUGCCACAAUCUGAUUUUCACUCUUAUUUUUCUCCUGUUUUGCUUUAUGAGCUCUAUUAAUAUCAUCUUUCAAAAUGGAAUCAGGAGUCAUAGGAAGCAAAGUAAUAUUUUUAUCCUUAUGAACAAGAGUAUACUGAUUGUUUCUACCAUGGUGUAUAGAAAUUUUAUCAAAUUGCCAUGGUCGACCAAGUAAUAAGGAACAUGCUUGCAUAGGUACACAUCACAAUCAACAUAAUUCACAUAUGUAGAGAUACUAAAAUGCACACAAACAGUACGUGUUACCUUAACCUUGCCGCUGUUGUUGAACCAUUGGAUGUAGUAAGGAUGUGGAUGUGGUCUUGUGGUGAGAGAUAGCUUCUCCACCAUCUCCAUGCUAGCCAAGUUGUUGCAGCUCCCUCUGUCUAUGAUGACGUGCACAGAACAUUCCUUCACGACGCCCUUUGUAUGGAACAAAUUGUGCCUUUGAUUUUGCUCAGCUUGUGUGACCUGCACACUCAAAACACGUUGAGCAACUAAACAUUCAUACCUAUCAGCGUCUUCAGGAGCCAUGUAUUGCGUCUCAUGAUCAGAAUCAUCUCCACCAUGUUCUUCACGUGUAAUAAGAGCCAAAGUCUCCUCAUCAUAGUCACUAGCGGACUCAUGCCCACCAUCCUCAGUAGCAAUCAUCACACGCUGAGAUUUGCAUUCUCUCGCAUAAUGACCUCUUCCCUUACAACGACGACAAAUAAUAUCACUUGUGUGCCCUGUUGAUGCCAUGGAAGAAGAAGAACUCUGUGGAGGCCCGGUAGGUGCGCUCUUGGCAGAUAAUGGUGGUUGUGCCUGCUUUCUUGUAUCACGGCUGGAGGUGGCACCUGAUGGAGGUGCGGGUGCAGUUGAAGUAGAAGAUGCACGCGGUGUCCAUGAUGAAGGUCGGCCUGCAGAAAAGUUAGUUCGCGCCAAUGCUUGUCGAUCCUGCACUUCACGUUCAGCUUUACAAGCAAGAUGGAAUAAACGAGUGAUAUUAGUAUACUCCUUAUACUCUAGAAUGGUCUGAAUCUGUCUAUUUAAUCCACCCAUAAAACGUGCAAGCAUAGCUUCAUUCUCCUCAACAAUACCACAUCUAAUCAUGCCAGUUUGUAAUUCCUGAUAAUAUUCUUCUACAGAAUUUUUCCCUUGUCUUAAGCGCUGCAAUUUUUGAAGCAAUUCACGUUGAUAAUAUGGUGGAACCCGACGAGUAUGCAUAGCAGUUUUCAAAGCAGCCCAAGUAGUUGGAAUAGGAUAUAAUCUACAAUGUUCAGACCACCAUACACAUGCAAAACUAGUGAAAAAACAAACAGCAGUGGCAACCCAUCUCUCCUCAGGAUAUUGUAAACAUGUAAAUCGUUGUUCAGUUUCUAACUCCCAAGUAAGAUAUAUACCAGGAACAUAUCUACCUAUGGUGGAAUAUUCAAUUUCAGUUUAGGAAGAUGGUCAUGUUCUCGUACCUGAGGGAGAGCCCUACCAUUGUGAUUAUUUGCAUGUGGACGACCUGGUGGUUGUGGUGCAGGUGGUUGCACGUAGUUCUGAUUUUGAUCAACCUCAUCCUCGUAAUCUCCCACAUAAUCAUCCUCCUCCGCAUCAGCAGCAGGAGCCACAGAAGUAUCGACAACAGCACCAACAGUUUGGCCAAACGCAAGAGGGACACGGCUCACUCGGCGGAGGGCUGUUUCGCGACGUGGAGGUAGUCGUUGUUGUUGUUGUAGAGGUGCGUUAGGUGCAGACGGCGGUGGUUGUGGAAAACGCACGAGCAAUUCAUUAAACUUGCUAUCAAGCUUUGUUUCGAACGUCUUCUCAAUGCCAUCUAUCUUCUCCAUGGCCUCGUCAAAUCUGUUUAGCACAUCUUACACCUGUCCACUCAUCAUUUGCUGAAAUUUAUCAUGUAGCUGUUUGUUCGUCAGGUUCUCCCAAUCAGUCUCAUCGGCUUGUGAUCCUACCAUGGUUAGCAGCAAAUAGAAACACACAAGAAUAUGAUCCUACAGACUACUAAGAAGUGGCGGUGGUGUAUCACAAACCCGUCAAGCAAAUCUCAAAUUCUUACCAGUUCUUACCCAGCAGCAGGUGAUGAUCGGCAACCGUUGUAGUCAAAACUCUCAAAGCUUGGAUAGAGCGAUUACCAGUGAGAGUCAAACGCACGACGUAGAUGUAUGUGGAGCUGGGAAGGCUUAUAAUAUGGUAGCAAAAAAGGGUCAGCAAUAAUCAAUUCAGAGAUGCAAAGUUGAAUAAACGCUCAACGACGGUACUAUACUGGUCCUAUGCUAGACUGUGCUAGAGACACGAGCCUAGAACACAAAUAAAAUCACGAUGCUGCACGGAAACAAGGGAGAAGCACACUGAAAAAAAAUCACACUUUUUUUUGCCUCUUUUUUUUGCUCUUUUUUUUGCGCUCCUUUUUUUUCGAAAAUCACUAUAAUGGCGAGUGUCUCAAAAGUCUUCCCAAGUGAAGAUAAUAGGAUAGGCACGGAAUUUUUUUCGACCAAUUUUUUUUGACUGCCCGGACCCAAAAACUGGAAACGGGUCAAAAAAAACUUUCUAUAACGGCGACUGUCUCAAUAUGCUUAGAAACACCUAAAAAUAGGAUAGCUAGAUUUUUUUUUGUCAAGUACGUUUUUGGAAAAUUUUGGGCCUAAAUGGAGGGUGGUUUCUAGACUUUUUUUUUUCCAAAACCUACUCAGGCAAGGAAACACGAAUCGGAAAUUAGAUAGAACUCGAAAACAAACCUAAUAUGCAAGGAACUCGGAUUGGUGGUGGAUAUAUGGUGGUGGUAUAUGGCAGCGGUGGUGGUAUAUGGCAUCGGUGGUGGUAGCGGUGGUAGUAUAUGGAUAUGGAUCGGUGGUGGUAUAUGAAUACGGAUUGGUGAUGGUAUAUGGAUACGGAUUCGGAGCGGUGGUGGUAGGUGGCAGGGGCGAUGAUGAUGGUGCGGUGGCGGCGUGACAACUUAUGACUAGAACUCAAAACUCUAAAAAACUAGACGCUAAGACCAGCAACUUGACGCGACGAUGCAAUAGCAAAUUCAACAAAGCAAAAUACUAAAAAGACUAUGCAAAGGCUCAGACUGGUUCGGAUAGGAUGAACUAACCCUAAUAAAUUUUUUUGGCUUUUUCGUGGACUAUAGGUAUGAAGAACAGACUCGAUCUAAACUACGAUAAACUGUAAAAUCUCACCGAGCAAUCUGGAAAUCUGAUACCACUUGAUAGAGGCAAAGGCGUCCCGUCUUUCGAUGAGAUGGUGGCUAUCGUUUUGGAGGAAGUCGACUUUGACGAUCCUACUACGAACGUGCGAGGACGUCGCGCCUUAGCAAUCGCUAAACCAACUCCAAGAGGUUAUUGACCACGCCAGAGCACGAUCAACCUGACCACGAAGGUCUAUUUCCUGCAGGCAAACAAAGAACAAGCAAGAAAUUAAGAUUGCAAUCUGGAUAUUGUGAAUAUAAGAGGAAAGUUUUAUUGAUCAAGGUGGGGUUCUGUGACGCCUUUGUCUGGUCGUUGAACACAAAUGAAGUACGCGAAGUUGCAGCUAUGGCGAACUUUAAUAUAAACAAAACCCAAAGUCUAAACGAUGCCCUAAGGGCUGUAUAUAUGGAGGAAGAGGGGGGGGGGGAUUUCGUGGCCCUUGGUGGAGGGGUCCGAAAUGAACCCUAUCUCUUGUUUCCCCACACAUACGGACUCUAAAAAUAGCCUAUACUUAUGUAUUUCAAAAUUACAUGGGCCUGGCCCAAUAAUAAGGUGAUGCAGCACCUAGAAUAGCCCCGGGACGAAAUUUAUGAAGUGGCAUCUUGUAUAUUUCGUCCAAGGCUUCAUGCACCCAUUAUGGUGGCUUCAAAGUGCUGAAAUCAUCACUUGUAACUCCGUUCUUGUUCCCCUUGCGCAUGCCAUCAUCUCCAUGCUUGUUCUUGCUUCAAUGUUCAUCCUUCUCCAAGCUAGGCCCUUCAUUUGUAAGCAAAACAAAUGUAUCCAAUUUAGGCAGCAUCAUAUUCUCAUGAACAUUAGAAUCAUUACCAAGAAAGAAAGUACCUGGUAAUUUAGUUGGCGUGCGCGAGCUCUAGUAAUUGAUCCAGUAUGUAUAGCAGCAGGGGCUGUGGGUGUAACAAUGGUAUUGAUGUCCUCAUCAGAAACUUUGUUAAUUGAACUAUUUUGACAAGCACAUAAUUAUUAUCACAGAGGCUGCAUAUGACACAUGAUCGUCAGACAUGCUCAAGGCACUCGUUACUGGCAAUAUAGAUGGGCUUGUACCUUGAUGGAGGUCAUGUGAGUUCCCCAGACUGGUCGACGACUAUGGGUUCAUCGUUGGGACUGGAUCAAGAUGCAGAACCGCGUGUUGGGAGCAGNNNNNNNNNNNNNNNNNNNNNNNNNNNNNNNNNNNNNNNNNNNNNNNNNNNNNNNNNNNNNNNNNNNNNNNNNNNNNNNNNNNNNNNNNNNNNNNNNNNNNNNNNNNNNNNNNNNNNNNNNNNNNNNNNNNNNNNNNNNNNNNNNNNNNNNNNNNNNNNNNNNNNNNNNNNNNNNNNNNNNNNNNNNNNNNNNNNNNNNNNNNNNNNNNNNNNNNNNNNNNNNNNNNNNNNNNNNNNNNNNNNNNNNNNNNNNNNNNNNNNNNNNNNNNNNNNNNNNNNNNNNNNNNNNNNNNNNNNNNNNNNNNNNNNNNCAGUAGCGGAGGUCCUCCGGUGGCGCGCUCAACAUCAGAUCUGGUGGGGCCGCAACGCCUCAGCCACCGACGGCGUCGGCAGCGAGCGAGGAGGCGAAGGAAUCCCACGUUGGUGCGCGAAAUUCCGAUCGCCAGGGAGACGCCGGUGCCCGGGCGGUGCAAGAGAUGCCAGGGGAGCACGCGUAGGUGGCGAGGGCCUAGAAGGCAGCGGGGACGGCGGGAAGUGUGAUAGGUGGUGGAGGCGUGGGGAGGUUUUUUUGGAGGCACCAGAGAUCGUGCGAUGGUGCGAGGUGUUCUCUUCAGCAGCGAUGCAACGAGUUAUUUUGGAGUAAUUAGCGGCGGCCUGAGGAGAAUGCCAAUCAUGUUUUAGUGCUAAACAUUGGAGCCACCUGGAUCGUUGGAUCAAGCAGUUUGGAUAGGUGAGAUGAAUUGAUUCUCCAUCCUUUUAUGCUUUUAUAGGGUAGUAGAUAGAUAGAUAAACUAGUGUCAAAACAGAUGAAAAAAAAAGUUUCUUUCUUACCGAAUCAUCAAUCGCCAAAUACGAGUCCCUAAAAAGCCAAACCGGUUCAUCUUGUGUCGAACCUUCUCGCCUUCUUCCCCACCCUAACCCUUUCUCGCCGCCGCCGCCGCCGCCGCCGCCGACCCUCUUCCGCUGUUACCAACCUCUGCCGCCUGCCGAGAUGGAUGACAGUUGCGCGGUGUGCGCGGACGCGCUCGAAUGGGUGGCUUACGGGCCGUGCGGGCACCGCGAAGUGUGUUCAACCUGCGUCGUCCGCCUUCGCUUCGUACUCGAGGAUUCUCUAUGCUGCAUCUGUAAGACGGAUUGCCCCUCCGUCUUCGUCACAAAGGUUCGCCGCUAUGGUCUGCAUCUGUUCGGUUGGUUAUCGAUCUGUGGCGUGGUUGGAUCUUGGGUCUUUGAUUGGGUAGUAAACGAAUUCGAGCUAGUUAAUUAGAUGGGCGCUGAGUUUUGUUCUACUGUUUGGAUGGUGAAAAUUCUGAGUAAUAGCACACCAGUAUGAUAGCUUUGACCUCUCGUUUCUUGAUGAGGUGAGCUCAGGUCACUGUAUCGAUUCUGGAUUUGUUUGCCCAAAGUUGGAAUUUCAGCUGAUCUUCUGUUUCAUUAUGCAGGACCGGAAGCUGUUUUUAUUAUCGUACGCACGCUUUAUUCGAAUUUUGAUUUGUCCAAUGAUUAAGUGGUUUGAGAUUUUCAUGGUUCCUGUAUUUUUUUGUUGAUACUCCGUACAUGGCAUCUUCACUGCGUUGCCGAUUAAGUGCAUUUGUGCUUACAGUAUAGCUAGUCAGGAAAAGAGAAAUAUGUGAGUUUUAUAUGUUUAUGCUGAUUCAGGUGAUUAGUAUUCUAGUUUGUGCAUAGUGCCAGCCUAAAGGGCAUGGGAGUAUCUGGAAAGCCUCCUGGAACAUGAACUGACGCCUUAUUUUAUGCAUGCUUUCUUCAUAACUCACGGGAUUUCACCUUCUUCUAUGAUCAUUUUAUAGGCCAUGGGAGAUUACACAAAAGUGAUCUUGGAUUUCUCUGUUUUGCCCACUGAGGCAAAUGAGGGAAAUGUGGGGGAGUACUGGUACCAUGAGGAUACAAAGGCAUACUUUGAUGAUGCUGAUCAUUAUAAGAUGAUAAGGGCGAUGUGCCGACUUUCUUGUAGUGUAUGUGACAAAGCUGAGGACCAGGUUGGUCAGGCAGCACAAGCAAAGCGCCGAAGCAGGUUCAAGAGCAUUGAUCAGCUAAAGGGACAUUUGUUCCAUCAGCAUAGGUUAUACAUGUGUAAUCUUUGCUUGGAGGGGAGAAAGGUGAAUAUUUUGACCACAUAUACUCUCUUCUCCUUCCUAUAUUGUCAUUCUUGUGUUUCAGAAGGACUAAAUCUAGUUACUAUUGUGACACCAACUCUGUUGUAUUUGAUGGUUUUCUCCCUUGUGAGCAAAUUUAGGAUGAAAAUCAGAACCUGUUUGCAAAUUAUCUAGCUAGUUUAACUUAAUGUCCAACCUUUUUCUUACCGUUUUCUCUGUGGGCCCCCUUCAGUUAACGUAUGUGGAAUCCAGUUAAGGCAGGAAUUUAUGGUAGAUAUUUGUUUAUGCUAUUGCUUUAACUAAGCGAGUGGACUCAUGUAGUGCUGGUGCUAUAAUUCAUGGUUAUAAAACAUUAAAACUUGGUAAUGGGUGCUUGCUCGGCAAGCUCAACGUGUAGGUAAUUUGCCGUGAACUCAAUAAAUAGGUAUUUAUAUAUGGGUAUCCCUGUAGAACUGAAACCAGCAUUUCAUCCUAUUAGGAUAGUUAAACUAGAUGAAGCAACAGCAGCUACCUCUGGUAAGGAAUAUGUAACAGCAGGCAGUAGCAGCCCGCAGCUAUGUACAGAGGUGUGGCAGCAGCAACUUCUGGCGCAGAGAUAAAGGAAGUGAAACUACUGUACUGCUAUUUCGAGUACUCACCUGGUUAUGCCCCAUCAUCCUGAGCAUUUGCCCAGUUAUACCCAUCAUACCUAUUAAGUACUCGGUUAUGUAUGCAUGUUCUCGCUGACGCCACCUCUAAUCAGUAUUCAGCCCAGUAAACCUGCUUGAGUGAGACUGUUUCUGUUUUCAAGUUAUGUAGUUAAACUAUGGGUAAGUAGCGAUGUAAGUUUUCUUUUCACGUAACAUGACAGUCCGUCUGAACCAUGGAAAGUAGGUAUAAAAACAUUUAGAAUUCUCUGUAUAUGUCUGAUUAUCCUUGUCCAUAUAUGCUAUCUUGCUAUGUGAAAGUACUUCACCAUACAUAUCUGUUUUCUUUUGAAAUAUUAUUUAUAAAAUUGCGUGGACAAACAUUUUGACUGACAUGCAAAGCCUGCCUGAGAAGCAUGUGGAACCUGUGUAACCAAAUGUUAUACUCCCUCCGUCCCAAAAUAAGUGUCUCAACUUUGUACUAGCUCUAGUACAAAUUUGUACUAAGCUCGAGACACUUAUUUUGGGAUGGAGGGAGUACUAUAUAAUUAGGCACCUUUUUCUGUUUUUUUGUUGUUGAGGAAGUUCAGGUUGUUUUGAUAGCAUGCAUUUUAACACACCUGGGCUACUGUUAUAUCCUUCAACUUGCAUUUUAACACACCUGGGCUAUUUUUUUUAUCACUUUGUGCCUUUUUAUACGAAGUAGGUGAAUCUUGUGGGUUAUUUGUAUUAUCCAACGCUGAACAGAAUCAUUGCCUAUUCUUUUUCUGUGGCCCCUUUAGUAGAUGCUACCUCUGUUUCUAAAUGUAAGACGUUUUGGCAAUUUAAAUUGAACUGCCAAAACGUCUUAUAUCUAUUAGGAACAGAGGGUGUAUCUUUUAAAUGUGAUGCUAGAAAAUGAUUUCUCUUGGGAUUAUCAUUUGCUGAACGAGUUACUAUGUUGAGCAGGUAUUCAUUUGUGAACAGAAGCUUUAUACAAGGGCACAGUUAGCUCAGCAUACAAAAACUGGUGACUCUGAGGUGGAUGGCUCUGAGAUUGAACGCAGUGGUUUUGCAGGACACCCAGUGUGUGAAUUUUGUAAAUAUCCAUUAUAUGGAGAUAAUGAGCUUUACACACAUAUGUCCAGAGAACACUAUUCGUGCCACAUAUGUCAAAGGUAUUAUGCAACUAUGUCCUUAGCUAAUUCAUUGUUGCAAACUUGUGACAAAUGCUGACAUUGUAAUUGCUUACAGGCAGCAUCCUGGGCAGUAUGAUUAUUUCCGGAACUAUGAUGAUUUAGAGGUAAUUCGUGACUCCUGUCCAUAUUUAUCAAUCCAUAUCUUUUAACUCUUAUCGAUGUCUAUGUUUAGUGACCUUCCUUUGUUAUCUGUGUCACUUUCUCAUUGAAUUGCUUGAUGUUAAUUCAAUUCAGAUGCAUUUUCGUAAAGAUCAUUUCCUCUGUGAAGAUGAUGCAUGUUUGGCCAAGAAAUUUGUUGUCUUCCAGAGUGACGCAGAGAUCAAGGUAAGCUUAGUUGAAGCUAUUGUUUUAGUAGUAUUAAAGUGUAUUACUACCAAGGGGCAUGCCACUGGGUCUAUGUACUGACCUACUAGUUUAUUUCUACAGAGACAUAAUGCUAUGGAGCAUGGUGGGCGGAUGUCUCGUGCCCAGAGGAAUGCGGCACUUCAGGUUUGUUCAUUCUCUUAAGACCUCUCUAUUCCUUGCUUUCGUUUUUGUGCUUUAGCUCCUCCAUUUAUUUAGCCAUCAAUUUAGUUCCAAUAUUGUUUGGCUCAUCUCUAUCUGUUUCCUAUUGCUUUGGGCUAAAUACUCUAUUCUGGCAUUGUCAGAUACCUACCAGUUUUAUAUACCAAAGGAAUGAGCAAGAUCAAAGGCGUGGCAGAGGUAGGGGCCAUAAUGCUCACCAUGACAGAUUUGACAGGGAUUUCUCAUUAUCUGUGCGGGAUGGCAGUGCAACUGCAGACCAUGGCCUUGGAAGUCGAGUUGAUAGUGUUGCAGGGCCUUUCCAGUCAUUAAGUGUCAGUUCCAGUUCUGGUCGAAGUCGAACAGAAAUUGGUCGAAGCUUAGGGAAUCGUCGCGUGCUCGAGCAGUUGUCUUUUCCUCCACUUCAAGACCAGGAUAUUCCUGAUGCUAGGAUUGAUGCUGUUCCCUAUGAAACCUUGUUUCCUCCCGUCUCAGAGCAGCAAUCAAGGUAUGCGCUGGCUCUUAAUCAGAGCUCAAGGGGUUCUGCGAGGCUUGGUGAUGAAUCAUUAUUCCCUCCAUUGCCUGGGUCAAGUAACAAGGGUUCUGCUUCAACACAACAGGGGCUGCAAAGUCUUGCUAAGAACACACUUGCAUCAAGGCUGCAACAACGUAGUAAGGGCUCCGUGAAGGUACUAUAUUCUGCUCAGUCUCAAACAGGUGAAAAUCCUGAGAUAGUACCUCAUGUUUCCACUUCCACCCAGACAUGGCCUACACCUGACCAGGGGCUACAUCUCUCUGGUUCUUCUCAACUUCGGAUUGUAACUCAAUCAACAAGAGAUAAUGGGCUCAUGCCAUCUGCCUCCAGCGGUUCAGCAUGGAAUUCCAGAGCUUCAAACAAGAUGAAGCACUCUAUUUCGACCCCUAAUUUUGUUUCUGGUGGGUCCUCUGCCCAGGCAUCAUCAAGUACAGCUUAUGGCAAUAAAAAGCAACUGCCACCACAAAGCAGCCAACCUUUGCCUGUUGUGGAGGAUGUUCGACAAGCAAACAAAUCCCUUGUGGAAAGAAUGCGUGUUGCAUUAGGAAUGGAUGAGGAUAGGUUCUCCGCGUUCAAAGAAAUUGCAAGUGAAUACCGUCAAGGCGUCAUUGAUACUUCAGAGUAUCUCUCGUAUGUGGAGCAGUUUGGUAUAUCACAUCUUGUUCCUGAAAUGGCUAAGUUGUUGCCUGAUCCUCUGAAGCAGAUGGAACUUGCUGAUGCCUAUUACACCAACAUGCGUUUUAAAAGUCUCCAAGAAAAUGGCGGUUGUGAAACCAUUACUGUGAAAGAGAACAAGCGUAAAAAUAAGGGCAAGGGAAAAACACUUGAUGCAGAAACAGCUACUGCUAAGGAUGCAAGUGAAUCGCUAGCUGAUAGCUUUAUGGACACUGUAAGAAAGCUUCAGUCGAACAACAAGGCUCAAGAAGGAGAGGCUGCAGUGCUUUCGAAGGAUGGGUAUCGAUCUUCCAAGGAAAAAAUCCCACUAUCAGCUGGAGGGUCAUCCUGUGGUACAAAGAUGUGUCUAGACGGUGAUCCAGUUGCCAUUUCAAAGGCGUCUGGCACUAGUAGGUAUGUGGGCAAGGGUGGAGGAAGCACCGGUAGCAGCAGCAGCAGCAGCAGUAACAACAAACAAUCGAAGAAGACGUCAAAGUUUCUCAGAGCCCGGUUGGGUGACAACUCAUUGGCUACACUUGAUUUUAGUCAUCCUGAUGUGAGCCCUGAACGACCUGAAAGGGAGACACAAGUCCUGCAAACUGGGUUGCCUGUGCGAAGUGUUUGGAAGAAUGGUGCAGCACAGAAGCUCUUCUCCAGCAAUGGAAAGAAAUAGCAUCAUUUUGUGCAGACGUAAUUUGAUCCAUUGAGCUGGUUGGCAGGAAAUGUGCACAUUUUGUGAUGUGUGUUUUGGCUGCUUGGAGAAGGCGCCGUCUAUUUAGAAGGUCGCUUCGUUUGAGUGAAUUUGCUGGUUGAAAACCUCAAAAGUGAGGAUGGAACUUGAAUAGCUUGGCUAGCUAUACCUUUGUCAAAGUGUAGACUGUAUAUUACAUGAAUUCUACUCCCUCCGUUCCUAAAUGUAAGUCUUUGUAGAGAUUUCAUUGGAUGGACUACAUACGGAGCAAAAUGAAUGAAUCCACACUUAAAAUGCAUCUAUAUACAUCCGUAUAUAGUUCAUAGUAGAAUCUCUACAAAGACUUACAUUUAGGAACGGAGAGAGUACCAAUGAUUUUGUGGCUUGCAUGACUUCGAUUUCGACCAGGCUGCAUGACUUCUGUUGCCAGCCUCUUAUAUUUACUGUGUGGCAAGACAACUGUCAAUAAGAGCAUCUCCAACACAUGAUGUAAAACGGUCGCCCUGCUGUGCCCAAAAAACUGCCAUUUGGGGCAUUUGGAGAAAAAAACAUUGUUCCAACAGAUGUAUCUUUGUUACAGAACUGCCAUUUAAGGAAUUUGGAGGCAAAACAUUGUUCCAACAGAUGAUGUAUCUCUAUUUGGCGCCAUUUUUCUUCUUUUUUCCUGCAUUCCUGAAAUUUUGACCAAGUGCUGCAUAUUUGCAACACCUAUUGGUCGCCUCAAAAACCAAACACAACCAUGUUAACAUUGUUAAUGCCAACCACGCUGAAGUUAGCCAUCUCACAUUGAUUCUGGCUGGUUCUCGCUGUUGCCCGCCACCGAGGUGAGUCUGUCGUCCACCCCUGGCCAAGCCCCCACCGAGGUGAGUCUGUCGUCCACCCCUGGCCAAGCCGUCACCCUGCCACCCAUUCUCGCUGCGUUGGAGCCUGCCACCACCCCCGACACCAAUUGGGGUUUUGUUGCUGUCUGAUUUGCAACGAAUGCCGCCCUUGCCCCUUCGCCGCCUGAUAUGUCCGCUGCAAUGCCGGGGCUCGCCGUGGAAGUUGAUUAGCUCCUCCCCUUGUCAUCACCGUGACAUUGCUCGCGAUAAGAAUAAUACUAUUGCUCAGUUCAUCCCUUCUAAUAUUUUGUUCAGGCGGGAUUUGACUGGCCCCCGACUUAUGUCAUGGCAUAAUCUUUUAUGCCGUUUGGAUGCGAUUAGCCUGACAGAAAGUCAGAAUGUGUUUUGCUGGAACCUUACUACAUCAGGGUCUUUCACUGUAGACUCUAUGUAUUGUGCGCUCACGCAUUCUGAGAUGCCGGUGAGUAAUAAUAAGAAAAUUUGGAGGUUGAAGAUACCACUAAAAGUUAAAGUCUUCAUGUGGUAUCUUCGUAGGGGAGUUGUGCUAACCAAAAACAAUCUCGCACGGCGUAAUUGGCAAGGGAGUAAGAAGUAUUGUUUUUGUACUCAUGACGAGACAAUCAGACACCUCUUUUUCCAAUGCAACUUUGCACGUUCUAUGUGGCCAGUCAUCCAAAUAGCGUCAAGUUUAUAUCUGCCCACAAGUGUUGCCAAUAUUUUUGAUCAUUGAUUGGACGGUAUUUCAAAUAGGUUCAAAAUGCUAUUAAGGAAGGGAGCGUAUGCCUUACUAUGGUCGCUUUGGCUAUGUAGAAAUAAUUUUGUUUUUAAUGACAAAAAUGCUUCUCCUUUGCAUGCUAUUUUCCGUUGUACGCACUCUCUUCGUACGUGGUCUAUGCUACAACGAGCGGAGGUCCAACCGCUGUUCAAGGCGGUGUGUACGCGGUUGGAGCAGGUGGCUACAGAGGUUUUUACCCAACAUGGGUGGCAGUAUAACCUUCAGAUCGGUCCAUCUCACCUUUCGACAUAGGCACCGUGUUGGUCUAUAGGACUCUACUAUUGCCGAUUUGUCGGUUUUUGUUUUCUUCUGGUUGUCAGACUUUUGGUGUUCGGCUGUGUGCAUCCUAAUUAUGCAGAGGCUGAGUGCUGCUCAUAAUGCUUUGUAUCCACUUGAUGCUACAUUUUCAGUUAAUAAAAUCGCCCUUUAUCGAAAGAAAAUAAAUCAACGAGUUGCUGCUCCUUCUGAGCUCUCGGCUAUCGGCUGGUGAGGUGACAACUGCUUUGCUUCAACCCCCACUGUCCGGCGGCAGCAAGUACGUUCCCAUUUCAUUCAUUGUCGGCCUGACGACUGCCUCGCUCAUGGCGAGCUACACCGUCCGGACUUCACCUCCGUGCCCAUUGUUGCUCGAUGGGAAACCUUCAAGGUAUUUGUUUUAUUUUUUGUUGUGAUACAGGAUUGGAUUGUGAUGGGAUUGUAGUGCAAAGUAUUGUGUUAAUGUCUUCGUAGGAUGACUUCUUCAUGAAGAGAGCACUUACAUCAAGUGUGUGAAGCAAUUUGCAAAGUUGGUGGUUGAAAUGGUUGGCCAGAAUGUUUGAGAGCACCCAAAGCAUAUUUUCGGGAGGUGGCCUAUGCUACUAUCGGAGUGUAAAGUCAGGACACAAGGGAUCAAGGAUACCAUGUAUUUGUGAGUUUGGCAAGAGGCUAAAACGCUCUGUUUCACCCAAAAGAAAUCCACAUGAGAUACAAGGAUUUUUAUACAGGUUCAGGCUGCCAUGGAUAGCGUAAGUUCCUACGUCCCAUUCUUAUUGAUAUCAAAGUGAGAAGUACAACUUCUCAAAAAAAAGUGGGAAGUACAGGUGCUUGUUGUGUUAUAGAAGAGAUGCUCGGGGUGUGACCGGUGGUGGCCGGGGUCCUAGCGUGAGUGCCCGAGCACUCCUAUCUCUACUUCCCUAAGCUUGCUGAUUGAUCUCCUUGGGUGGUGCUUGACUAUUGUAGUACUAACUAUGGUAUGCGUGUGUUUUCUUGUGAUCUUGUANNNNNNNNNNNNNNNNNNNNNNNNNNNNNNNNNNNNNNNNNNNNNNNNNNNNNNNNNNNNNNNNNNNNNNNNNNNNNNNNNNNNNNNNNNNNNNNNNNNNNNNNNNNNNNNNNNNNNNNNNNNNNNNNNNNNNNNNNNNNNNNNNNNNNNNNNNNNNNNNNNNNNNNNNNNNNNNNNNNNNNNNNNNNNNNNNNNNNNNNNNNNNNNNNNNNNNNNNNNNNNNNNNNNNNNNNNNNNNAUGGUCGAUGCAAAUGUGCAUGAACGGUUACAAGUAGAAGUAGGUGUUGCGGACGUGCAACUGGUCUUUGGUCUUGGCAGAGGAUGAGAUGACAUUGCAGUGUGUCAAGUCCUUGAGUACUCUUGGUGUAUGCUCAACUUGACGUGACACAACACACCAUCUCUCUUGUCAAAAAGGUGGGCCAGAGCUCGGGCACUCUCACCUAACUGAUAAGGCCUGCACCUGACCGGCUCAAGGCACUCGUCCAGCCAGGUCUUCGUGAUGAUGGAGGUCUAUGCCCGUAGACCUGCGUCGAGCUACAUUGAGCAGCCUGAUCAAGCAUUUGAUGCAUGGUUGGUGGAGUGUGCGACAAGGACUACUUAUCCUCGUGACACGUGUGCUGGAUGCUUGGGGCUUUGGGCUCCGAUGGCGUCAUGACUGACGUUUUUGACUUACCUUAGGAUCGUCUAUGGCCCAUGGUAUGGUAGUAGCCGUGUACUUGAAGAUUCAUGCAUGCCUCAGAUGGCACCGAUUUUUACUAAUUUGGAUAGUAAAAACCGUGUCUUUUCCUUGUCAGAUUAUGUUUUUUUUGAACGGGCCCAUUUGAUAGGGGUUCCAUGAUACACCUAUAUUGAAUAUGCUGUAAGUAGCCCCUGGCCCCGCCCAUAACGAUUGUGGUUGCAUAAUUUAAAAGAGUGCCUCCUUUUUCCUCACUAUGGGUGGGGCCAAACCAUUUAAUGGGAUAGUUUAGAAAAUAGUGUUGGGAACACGAUGCAGUUUCCUCUAAAACUAGGGAAGCGGUUUCUAGGUUCCGUGCGGAGCGAUAACCCCUGGAGUUAUGCGCCAUGCGGAGCGAGGCAUUAACUCCUCUGCCUAGAUCGUCAUUUGGUCAAAAAGGAGGCGCCCCUCUUUCUCUUUCAUUGCAUUACGUUGUAGCGCCUCUCUAUCAUGUUCCUCAUUGCAUCUUCCCCAUCCUUCUAUCAUCUCCCUCUCUCUGUCAUCAGGGUACUAAGAAGAGAACCAAGAAGAGGGCGGCAGAUUCUACUCCGACAGCCUCUCGUCCUCCAAAAAGGAUGACAUGUCGCGUCACCUGUGCCAUGGCAGCGGCGUUGUCAUCAGAUGAUUUGAUGCGAGCAUCCUCCCAUCAUCCCCAUGGACUCUACACCAACACAUCAAGCACCACAUGGACCUAUGACAAGAGCUCGAGCACGCGCCAUCGAAACCGAGGUGAACUCACUCCUACUCGAGAUCUAUAUGGAUAUAAAUGGAACUUGGUUGCUACCUCACCAAAACAUGCUAUAUGUCAUUAGGUACGAAGACCAACGCCACCAAGUAGCUAAUGGACAUCCCAAAGGAGUUGGAGAAGCACCUGAAAGCCACACAGAAGAAGGAGGAGCCAAAUUGGAGUAGCACAUCACCUCCCAGGCGACCCCGUGCCCACGGCCCCCCAAGACCCCAUGCGCACAGGCCUCCCUGGGAGCUUCUGUAACCGAGACACGCACCCCUAUGCGCACGGCCUCCAGACCCCAGGAAAGAGGCGAACCACCCAUCAUGACUUGGACACAAAUGAAGGAUGUCAUGAGAGCUCGCUUCGUGCCUACACACUACACCCGUGACCUUUUCAAGAAGUUGCAACUCCUCAAGCAAGGCACGAAGACAAUGGAAGAAUACUACCAAGAAAUGGAGAUUGCCAUGAUACGGACCAAUGUUAAGGAAGAUGACGAACAAACUAUGUCACGCUUCUUGAACGGCCUCAAUCACCCAAUAAAGAAGAUUGCCGACUUCCAACCAUACUCCAACCUUAUCGAGCUAGUUCAUCAAGCGACCAGGGCCGAGCGACAAGUACAAGAUGACUUCAAAUGUGCCAAGUACUCUUCCAAGACCUACGGCUCAUACACUCAAGUCCUCACAACUAUGACACCUCCUACCUCGACUAGAGAAUCUCCAAGCAACGGGGACAAGCCAAGUCACAAGAAAACUCCGACAUGUUCAAGUCCUCCUCCUACUACAAGCAACUUCAAGCCGAAAGCUUCAUCAUCAUCUA